rnacentral:rRNA from 1 species
UACGUAGGGGGCUAGCGUUGUCCGGAAUCAUUGGGCGUAAAGAGCGUGUAGGCGGCCCGGUAAGUCCGCUGUGAAAGUCGGGGGCUCAACCCUCGAAUGCCGGUGGAUACUGUCGGGCUAGAGUGCGGAAGAGGCGAGUGGAAUUCCCGGUGUAGCAGUGAAAUGCGUAGAGAUCGGGAGGAACAUCAGUUGCGAAGGCGGCUCUCUGGACCAGCACUGACACUGAGGCACGAAAGCGUGGGGAGCAAACAGG